UACGUAGGGUCCGAGCGUUGUCCGGAAUUAUUGGGCGUAAAGGGCUCGUAGGCGGUUUGUCGCGUCUGCUGUGAAAAUCCGGGGCUCAACCCCGGACUUGCAGUGGGUACGGGCAGACUAGAGUGUGGUAGGGGAGACUGGAAUUCCUGGUGUAGCGGUGAAAUGCGUAGAUAUCUGGAGGAACACCGGUGGCGAAGGCGGCAUCCUGGACCGGCAUUGACGCUGAACAGCGAAAGCCAGGGGAGCAAACGGG
rnacentral:rRNA from 1 species